UGAACGCUAGCGGCGUGGAUUAGGCAUGCAAGUUGAGCGCGAAAGCAUGAUGAAGGAUCCUUCGGGUGACUGAUUCGGCGAGUAGAGCAGCGCAAGGGUGAGUAAUACAUGGCUAACAUACCCCAUACAUGAGAAUAACUAUUAGAAAUGAUAGCUAAUGCUCAAUAGUUUCUUAAGGCCGCAUGGUCUAAAGAAUAAAGGUAGGGAUCCUUCGGGACCUUCUGGUUUGGGAGUGGGUCAUGGGCUAUCAGCUAGUUGGUGAGGUAAAGGCUCACCAAGGCUAAGACGGCUAGGCGAUCUGAGAGGAUGAUCGCCCACAUCGGGACUGAGACACUGCCCGGACUCCUACGGGAGGCUGCAGUCGAGAAUCUUCCGCAAUGGGCGCAAGCCUGACGGAGCGACGCCGCGUGAGGGACGAAGGCUUUAGGGUCGUAAACCUCUUUCGCUUGUUAAGAAAAGUGUAUGUUAAUAGCAUGCACCCUGACAAAGGCAAGUAAAGAAGCACCGGCUAAAUCCGUGCCAGCAGCCGCGGUAAUACGGAUGGUGCAAGCGUUACUCGGAAUCACUGGGCGUAAAGCGUUCGUAGGUGGUUCAUUAAGUUGGAUGUGUAAUCCCCACGGCUCAACCCGUGGAACUGCGUUCAAAACUGAUGAACUAGAGAGCAGUAGGGGACAAAGGGAACUUCAGGUGGAGCGGUGAAAUGCGUAGAUAUCUGAAGGAACACCGAUGGCGAAAGCACUUGUCUGGGCUGAUUCUGACACUGAGGAACGAAAGCUAGGGUAGCGAACGGGAUUAGAUACCCCGGUAGUCCUAGCCGUAAACGAUGGAUACUAGCUUGUGGGAUCUUCGGAUUUCGCUUGCGUAGCUAACGCGUUAAGUAUCCCGCCUGGGGAGUAUGCACGCAAGUGUAAAACUCAAAGGAAUUGACGGGGGCUCACACAAGCGGUGGAGCAUGUGGUUUAAUUCGAAGCUACGCGAAGAACCUCACCCAGGUUUGACAUGGAUGAAUUAGGUCUGAGAAACCAGACUGACACCCUUCGGGGCGGAACAUUCACAGGUGUUGCAUGGCUGUCGUCAGCUCGUGUCGUGAGAUGUCGGGUUAAGUCCCUAAACGAGCGAAACCCCUAUUGUUAGUUGCUAACGAGUAAUGUCGAGGACUUUAACAAGACCGCCGUGGUUAACACGGAGGAAGGUGGGGAUGACGUCAAGUCAUCAUGGCCCUUAUACCUGGGGCUACACACGUGCUACAAUGGGCAGUACAGAGGGUUGCGAAGUCGUGAGGCUAAGCUAAUCCCUUAAAGCUGCUCCUAGUUCGGAUUGUAGGCUGAAACUCGCCUACAUGAAGCUGGAAUCGCUAGUAAUCGCGGGUCAGCAUACCGCGGUGAAUAUGUUCCUGAGCCUUGUACACACCGC
rnacentral:rRNA from 1 species